CAAAACUAAUACUCACGGACUCCAUUCUCUCUCCCUUGCUUGAGCCUCUCUCUCUUCUUCCUUCGUUUCAACCCUAGCCGCAACUCCCUCUCAUCAUCACUCUCUCUCUGUCUCUCUCUGCUCUACACUCCUCAUCAUAUCUCUCUCUCUGCUCCACCUCUACCUCUCCCGCCCCUAGCCGUCAAUCGUCGUUCCACCGCCUUCAUUGAAGUCGAGCCAAUGGAUACAAAUCCUCAAUGGACACAGACAAGGUGGACGCUGAUGAUGAUGAUGAUGGUGAGAGCCCCUAUGAAGAUGGAGAACCCUCCAUUGACGCAGACGAGAUAUUUACCGAGAUGAUGAUGAUGAGAGCCCUCAAUGAGCCCUUCUGGAGAUGGAGAGCCCGCAAUGGACACAGACAAUUGGAGGAGUCGAUUGCGGCCAGAUUCAAGGCAAAGAAUUGUCAACAAGACAAUGGAGACAUUGAAGAGGCAUCUCCCUUUCUCUGGUCAAGAGGGAUUACAGGAGCUCAAGAAAAUUGCUGUAAGGUUUGAGGAAAAGAUUUAUGCUGCUGCCAUUAGCUUGUCCUAUAUGCUUCGACCAAUUUUCAAGUUCCGGUGAUCCGAACUUAUCUGUCAACUCUGCUUCCGGGUCUAAUUUUCAAUGUAGCACUUGUAAGAAGACUUACUUUGGCAAUCAAACACAUAUUGACCUGACAACAGCCAGUGGCUCCAAGAACUAUGGUGAAUCAAUGCCGGUUUCCAGAGCUUUUCCUCUCUUUGUAGUUGCUCACAUUCUCUAUGUAGUGCAGCAUUAGAGUCUAAGAAAAUGAGCCAUAACACUCACAUGGCUCUGAUAAAUUUCUUACAGAAAAAACGAUACGGCAACCAUUGAAGCUUAUUUCUAUUUGUAUGCAAAUGUGGGAUUGUAUGUUGAACUUUGUUUUA